rnacentral:rRNA from 1 species
UACGGGGGGGGCAAGCGUUGUUCGGAAUUACUGGGCGUAAAGGGCUCGUAGGCGGCCAACUAAGUCAGACGUGAAAUCCCUCGGCUUAACCGGGGAACUGCGUCUGAUACUGGAUGGCUUGAGUUUGGGAGAGGGAUGCGGAAUUCCAGGUGUAGCGGUGAAAUGCGUAGAUAUCGGGAGGAACACCUGUGGCGAAAGCGGCGCACUGGACCAUAACUGACGCUGAGGCGCGAAAGCUAGGGGAGCAAACAGG